CUGUGACAGAAACAAGCUGAAAAAGAAUAGGAUGAAAAUGGAGGGAUUAAAAGCAUGAAAAGUUUCAGUUCUCUUACCCAUUUCAAGCUUGUUAAUCUCCCUGCCCAACACGGGGUAUCUAAUUGUCAACCAAAACAAUAUGGCUAGUGGUUUUGGGCUAAUCAAUCUCUCUCUCUCUCUCUCUCUCUCUCAAUAUUAACAUCACAAUUAGCUAGUGUUCCUCUAUGGUUGGGGCCUGCCUUACAGACGUACCCAUUACUAUUAAAUUAUUAAUCCUUGGGCUAUUGACCAGCAAAAAGAAAAACUACUCAUACCCAGAAAGCUACUUAAUACUAAACAAAAAUUGCUUUCAGGACCACCUAUGAAUAUAAUCUUACUCACCCCGAAAUUCAAAUUGACUAAAUAUAUAAAGAAAUCACAAAAGAAAGAAAAAGGUCGGGAAAACAAACAGUUGGUGGGAACCUCAGCUAAACAAAGUCAGAGCUUUGUCGCCAUUUUUCCACCGAGCCGUAUUAACAAGUUACAGAGGCCAAUCUUUGACACGGUCAUGAGGCAAGCGGGGUGUUUCGAACAUUCAGAAAGCUAUAUAAUCAUUCUCCAGGUCAACAGUCAAAAAUCACGUUAGUCGACAAUAUUGAAAAGACAAAAAGAUCAAGGCUUUUUUAUCUCAUAACAACCCAAAUUCAAUUUGAAAGAUAAAGUUUUGUUAUUGCUCUCACAUAUUAUGUGUUAGACAAUCACAAUUUGUCAGAAAAAUAACAAGGCAAGUGAAGUUGAACCCAAAAAAAAACCGCUUUUUUCUUUCCCUUUUAAUAAUAGCAUAAGAUAUUUGAACAUGUACAAAACAUAUGUUCCUAAUCCAAUAAUAGCAUAGGCUAGCAUAGGAUCAGGACAUUAAAGGGAUGUUAUACUACUAACACCUGUCUUAUAAUGUUUUUUUGGUGCAUUUUAGCAAAAUAUCCCAUGAAAGGAAAACCUUCAUUCACUAUACCUUUUUUUCGCGCAUUUUAGCAAAAUAUCCCGUGAAUGGAAAACCUUCAUUCACUAUACCAAAAGGAAAACUUCACAACGGCCAAAAGUCAAUAGACGUAAAAAUUUGCAAUUUCUUAUCGUCCUUGAAGUAGUGUUAUGGUAUCUUCAUUUGCGGAGCAAAUAUUGUCAAACGGUGGUUGGGGAUCAGAGUUUGAGCUUUGGAAAGUAUAUAUAGGCCGCUUAGGUUGUGGGCGAUCUGUCUCCCUACUCAGCAUGAAAACUACAUCUGGCAUGGUUGGCCUAUCUGCAGCAUUGUCCUGUACACAAAGAAGCCCAAUGUGCACACAUCUCAUCACUUCUGUUGACGAAUAUGAAUCUGCCAAAACUUCAUCAACCAAGUCCAAUCCCCUGCCUUCAUUCCAUGAGUGCCAUGCCUGAAUAAGUUUCAUAUAUGUUGGCUACAAUUGUUAGACUCUGUUGUAUUUAGCUUCAUAUAGAUUGUUUAACAAUUUAUAAGAAUUUAGAGUGUGAACUUACAUAAUCUAUGAAGCCUAGCUGUUGGUCAUGGUAAUAGAAGCUGGUAUUUUUCCUGCCACCAACAAUCUCCAAUAGAAAGACUCCAAAGCUAUAUAUAUCAGAUUUUUCAGAAAAUAUCCCGCGCAUAGCGUACUCGGGAGACAUAUAGCCACUGUACAGGAAAUUCAUUAUCCACUAACUUAUUAUUAUUCCUGAUAACAUGCUAAAAAGCAUUAGAAAUUUAGUUGGUUAAUAACAAUUCUGAUAAUUGGGAAGAAAUUAUUCUUACCGAGUUCCCACAACCUUCUGAGUGUUUGCUAGAUUCUGUGUCCCUUCAAAGAUACGUGCCAGUCCAAAAUCCGAAAUUUUUGGGCUCAUCUUCUCAUCCAACAGAAUAUUACUUACCUUCAAACAUGAAUCAUAGUGGAGAUAAAGAAGUCCUCUAGCAACACCUUGAAUAAUAUUGAAGCGUUUUGCCCAAUCAAGCUCUGCUCUUCUCAUUGGAUCUAAUCAAUUCACCCAUUUGAAAUGAAAUCAGUAGUGUCAUUCAUAUAUUUGGUGCAUAGUACAAUGAAAACAAUGAUUUAAUUGCUAUAAAAUAGAGACACAGUUGUAAGAACACUAGUAAGCGGUGCUUAAACAGGUAGGUGUAAUAUAUUGAAGAGCUAAACUGUACUCAAAGAUUGUGCAUAUCAGUUAAUAGUUCCCCUGAGCUCCGCAUUCUAGGAAAAGCUCAUAGAUUACCAGUGAUAUUGAAGAAAGAUAUGUAACAAUGAGAAAUUGCAGCCAAACAUAAAGGGCCAGUGAAACUUACUGAACAAAAGAGUAUCCAAGCUUUUGUUUGGCAUGAACUCAUAAAUUAGUAGCUUCUCAUCAUCUUUAAUGCAGCAACCCAUGAGCCUUACAAGAUUCUUAUGUUGGAGUUUGGAGAUCAAUAGAAUCUCAUUCUUGAACUCUUCUAUGCCUUGUACUGAGCUACUAGAUAGUCUUUUUACUGCUAUUUCCUUCCCUUCUUGUAGCUUACCCUACACAAGGUCCACAAAUUAAUCAUUGCAUUCAUGUCUGUAUCAUUAUAUAUAUUCCUUCGAAAAGAAAAAAAAGAAAGAAAGAAUAAUCACCCUAUAUACAGGCCCGAAUCCUCCUUCUCCGAGUUUAUUUGUGAUGCUGAAAUUCCUCGUAGCAAUUAAUAUGGUAUCAAAAUCAUAGAUUACUAGCUCUGAUGGAUCAUGUUUUCUUAUAUAUUCAUGAAGAAGAGCAUCUCUUGAAGUCUCAAUCAUAUCAGCCAUUUCAGAGUCCUUAGGUGUUACUUUGACGUUUCCUGGUUUGCAAAUAUAGCAACCAAACUCGAAGUCAGAGAAAAACAAAAAAGCAGUAAAUAUGCUCUUAUAAUGUAAUGCAUUGAAGUUAUACUGUUUUGAUUAAUACUUCAAACAGAGGAAGGGUGAGAUCAUGGGCUAAUGCAUUAAUUGCAUCCCUCGACCUCAUUCUCUUACUCUUUUGGUUAGAUCGCAAUCUGUGCAAGCUAAACACUAUGCCAGCCAAGAUACUGAUAAAACAAACAGCUAUGAGGCUGACCAUUAUCUUUAUUUGCUUUCUUUCACCUAAAAAAAUGAAUUUGUGUCACAUAAAGUAGGUGACAGAGAAAAGAAAAGAUACUGCUAAUUAGAGUUGUGCAAGCAAUAUUAUCACUUACCUAAUUCUGCAUGUGCUAAGCGAAUAAAAAGAUCAUCUCCACCAGAGGCAAACUCUUGAAUAUCAAUAAGGUCUUUGGACCAGACCAAACACCCUAUAUUGUUAAUAUGUGUAUAAGCCAGGCAAGAGCAACUACCUGUGCACUGUACCUUGCAGUCUUCAGCACCCAAAUUCGAAAUAUACUCAUGAAAAUCUGGUAGGUUUACACUUGAUAUCUUCCAAAACCCAUCUUGUUUUCCUCUCGAAGGAACUGAGUUACUUGUGUUACUCCCACAAAACAAUUUGGUUUUCCUCACACACCCCCCUGCCCUGUUUCCUUUGCUCCAUUCCUCUUGUGACUUGGGUUUAAACCCUUUCAAACACUUGCAGAUUGGAGACUCGGAAGCUUUGCAAACCCCAAAAGGUCCACAGAUUCCAUAAUGGUCACAUGGAUUCUUUGGGGCCUCCCAGUCAAGAUUCCAGUUCUCACCAUGUUCGGAAUACAUAAGCUUUAGUGUACCUUGAUAAGAGAUUUCCAUAUAUGCCAGAGUUCUGUUAAAGAAAAAAGAGAAAUACUUUGUUCCCUGCUGCACAUUAUCAUCUAGAUUUAAUCCACUUAGAUAUUCAUCAUUCAUUCCUGGUAUGCCGAGGAACUUUGUUUUGUCCCAUGGCCCACUUCUCCAGUAGGGAGUUGAUCCAUUAAUCCAAAUGAACAUUUGUGUUGGGAUCUGUGGUGCCAAUCCAACCGAGAACAACCCGGUUGAUCCAUCACUCUCACUUUUCCAGGCAGUCAAGACAUCCCUCUUUCCAGAUUUGUUAUCGAAUCCCAGCAACAUCUUUGGUAGAAGUGUGUCACCAGGAUAAUCAAAGCUCCUCCAUAAUUGAGCUCCUAUAUCAUCUUGGACAACAAAGUUUCCACUGUCUAAAAGAAGUGCAGCUGAACCAUUAGAUGGCACUAAAAUAUUGGUUGACCAAAUACAACUCUGUUUCCCAUCUACAAGCUCCAGGUUCCCAUUGCUGUUAAUUGUCAAACUAGCCAAUGUGUCUGUAACUGAAAGAGCCUUUUCUCUGUUGGCCACCCAAACAACUUUGCGGGGAAAUAUAGUCUUGUGCCAUAUCCCCACAUACUUGUUAGCAGAAUUAUUAGGACUGAAGAAGCCCAAUUCGAAAAUGUGGCCUGGGGAGACAAGAGUUUGUCCCUCUGCUAAUGGUUGUGAAGAAGUUAUGUUAUAAACUUCUGCACAAUAAUGCUGUGACAGAAACCAAUUGAAAAAGAAUAGGAUGAAGAUGGAGGGAUUAAAAGCAUGAAAAGUUUCAGUUCUCUUACCCAUUUCAAGCUUGUUAAUCUCCCUGCCCAACACGAGGUAUCUAAUUGUCAACCAAAACAAUAUUGCAUGUGGUUUUGGGCCAAUCAAUCAAUCAAUCUCUCUCUCUCUCUCUCUCUCUCUCUCUCU
rnacentral:lncRNA from 1 species